AAUAAUGAAAACUUUCCAAAAAUAGCAAUUUUUAAGAAAAAUAUUUAAAAAUAUAAGCCAUAGAGAAAUACGACCUAUUGAUGAAAAACUCAGAAAGUAUACUCAUUUAUCCACAAAUAUUCUUGUUAUCCUAAUUUCAAAAUCACAAACCCUAAUCUACAAUAUUUAUCUAAAAAAUGAAAACUUUCCAAAAAUAUCAGUUUUUAAGAAAAUUAUUUAAAAAUACAACCUAUUGAUGAAAAACUCAGAAAGUAUACUCAUUUAUCCACAAAUAUUCUUGUUAUCCUAAUUUCAAAAUCACAAACCCUAAUCUACAAUAUUUAUCUAAAAAAUGAAAACUUUCCAAAAAUAUCAGUUUUUAAGAAAAUUAUUUAAAAAUACAACCUAUUGAUGAAAAACUCAGAAAGUAUACUCAUUUAUCCACAAAUAUUCUUGUUAUCCUAAUUUCAAAAUCACAAACCCUAAUCUACAAUAUUUAUCUAAAAAAUGAAAACUUUCCAAAAAUAUCAGUUUUUAAGAAAAUUAUUUAAAAAUACAACCUAUUGAUGAAAAACUCAGAAAGUAUACUCCUCUAUCCACAAAUAUUCUUGUUAUCCUAAUUUCAAAAUCACAAACCCUAAUCUAUAGUAUUUCUCUAAAGAAAUGAAAACUUUCAAAAAUAGAAAUUUUUAAGAAAGUUAUUUAAAAAUACAACAUAUUGAUGAGAAAUUCUUAAAGAAUAUUCUUCUAUCCACAAAUAUUCUUGUUAUCCUAAUUUCAAAAUCACAAACCCUAAUCUACAGUAUUUCUCUAAAGAAAUGAAAACUUUCCAAAAAUAGAAGUUUUUAAGAAAACUAUUUAAAAAUACAACAUAUUGAUGAGAAAUUCUUAAAGAAUACUCAUCUAUCCACAAAUAUUCUUGUUAUCCUAAUUUCUAAAUCACAAACCUAAUCUACAGUAUUUCUCCUAAAAAUGAAAACUUUCCAAAAAUAACAGUUUUUAAGAAAAUUAUUUAAAAAUACAAGUUAUAGAUGAAAAACCCAGAAAGAAUACUCAUCUAUCCACAAAUAUUAUUGUUUUCCUAAUAUCUAAAUCACAAACUCAAAUCUACAAUAUUUCUCUAAAAAAUGAAAACUUUCCAAAAAGAGCAGUUUUAAAGAAAAACUAUUUAAGAAUACAACUUAUUGAUGAAAAACUAAGAAAGAAUACUCAUCUAUCCACAAAUAUUCUUAUUAUCCUUAUUUCUAAAUCACAAACCCAAAUCUACAAUAUUUUCCAAAAAAAUGAAAACUUUCCAAAAAUAGAAUUUUUUAAGAAAUUUAUUUAAAAAUACAACCUAUUGAUGAGAAAAUCUUAAAGAAUACUCAUAUAUCCAAAAAUAUUUUGUUAUCCUAAUUUAUAAAUCACAAACCCUAAUCUACAAUAUUUCUCAAAAUAAUGAAAACUUUUCAAAAAUAGGAGUUUUUAAGAAAAAUAUUUUUGAAAAACUCAGAAAGAAUACUCAUCUAUCCACAAAUAUUUUUGUUAUCCUUAUUUCUAAAUCACAAACCCAAAUCUACAAUAUUUCUCAAAAAAAUGAAACUUUCCAAAAACAAUAGUUUUUAAGAAAAUUAUUUAAAAAUACAACUUAUUGAUGAAAAACUCAUAAAGAAUACUCUUCCAUCCAAAAAUAUUUUUGUUAUCCUAAUUUCUAAAUUACAAACCCUAAUCUACAAUAUUUCUCUAAAAAAUAAAAACUUUCCAAAAAUAACAGUUUUUAAGAAAAUUAUUUUAAAAAUACAACUCAUUGAUUAAAAACUCAGAGAGUAUACUCAUCUAUCCAAAAACAUUCUUGUUACCCUAAUUUCUAAAUCACAAACCCUAAUCUACAAUAUUUCACAAAAAAUGAAAAAUUUACAAAAAUAACAGUUUUUAAGAAAAAUAUUUUUAAAUACAACCUAUUGAUGAAAAACUCAGAAAGAAUAUUCAUCUAUCCAAAAAUAUUCUUGUUAUCAUAAUUUCUAAAUAACAAACGCUAAUCUUCAAUAUUUCUCAAAAAAAUAAAAAAUUUCCAAAAAUAGCAGUUUU
rnacentral:lncRNA from 1 species